rnacentral:rRNA from 1 species
CCUACGGGGGGCUGCAGUGAGGAAUAUUGGUCAAUGGGCGUAAGCCUGAACCAGCCAAGUCGCGUGAGGGAUGAAGGUUCUAUGGAUCGUAAACCUCUUUUAUAAGGGAAUAAAGUGCGGGACGUGUCCCGUUUUGUAUGUACCUUAUGAAUAAGGAUCGGCUAACUCCGUGCCAGCAGCCGCGGUAAUACGGAGGAUCCGAGCGUUAUCCGGAUUUAUUGGGUUUAAAGGGUGCGUAGGCGGCCUUUUAAGUCAGCGGUGAAAGUCUGUGGCUCAACCAUAGAAUUGCCGUUGAAACUGGGAGGCGUGAGUAUGUUUGAGGCAGGCGGAAUGCGUGGUGUAGCGGUGAAAUGCUUAGAUAUCACGCAGAACCCCGAUUGCGAAGGCAGCAUACCGGCGCCCAACUGACGCUGAAGCACGAAAGCGUGGGUAUCGAACAGGAUUAGAUACCCUUGUAGUC